GCCAAACUGCAGGACAAUGAUGGGUCUCCCUCGGGAGGUAAAGAGGUGACCCUCAGACUGUUUGCCUCGACCAACGUCACCUCUGUCCAACGCUCGGUGACGGGUCAUCAAGGCAUCGCUGUGUUUCUCCUGGACACUGAGGCGUGGGAGAUGGGCGUUCAACUGGAGAUACGAGACUCUCGCCGUGAUGUGCCCAGUGGGCACAGACGCUGGUGUACGGGACAUCCUCCACCACACUGUCACCAGCGUACUCCGCGUCUGCUAGCUUUAUCCAGCUGCGCGGGCCGACAGAGGCCGACACUUGUCGGUUGCAACAUCGUCUCAACGUCGAAUUCAUCCUGAAAGCCGUUGGCACGUCGAGGCCGAUAUUCUAUUACCUGGGCAUGUCACGGGGACAUAUCCAUUUCUACGGGAUACAAAGCAUCACCUUGUUUGGCAACAAAGGUAUGUUUUAAAUCUCGCACAGUCUCGUCAACGUCGCGUCUCAGUACGACAGGGAGUUUUGCAGAGCAGGCGG